rnacentral:rRNA from 1 species
CAAUAGCGUAUAUUUAAGUUGUUGCAGUUAAAAAGCUCGUAGUCGGAUUUUGGCUGAGAACGAUCGGUCCGCCGUUAGGUGUGCACUGAUUGGUCUCAGCUUCCUGGCGAGGAGGUGUGCUUCACGGCCACUUAGUCACCGUGGUUACUUUGAAAAAAUUAGAGUGUUCAAAGCGGGCUUACGCUUGAAUAUAUUAGCAUGGAAUAACACCAUAGGACUCCUGUCCUAUUUCGUUGGUCUCGGGACGGGAGUAAUGAUUAAGAGGAACAGUUGGGGGCAUUCGUAUUUCAUUGUCAGAGGUGAAAUUCUUGGAUUUAUGAAAGACGAACUUCUGCGAAAGCAUUUGCCAAGGAUGUUUUCAUUGA